AGAUCCAGAGGCUUUACAAACACUGUCUCCACUGCAGCUGCCCCAAUUGCCAAAAUAACUGCAAACCAGGCCAGACACGCUCCAAAGCAUUUACUAUUCAAAAACAGCCUAUUUGGAGUCAUAACUAGCAAACACCUAUGUAUAGAAAUUAUCAUCAAUAUAAAUACAAUACAAAAGUCCAAGGUGCUUACAUAAAGGGUGAAUAAUACACACAAUAGCAUAGAUCCUGGCAUGGUGUACAGGAGGUGAGAUAUUUCUAGCACAUGAGCCAAAGAGGCCAACAUGCACACAAAACAAAAUACUAGCAUCAAAACAUCUGCCCCCUUACAUGCCGCCCUAUAUGCACAAAACACACACACUACCGUCAGAUUUCCAAGCACAGACAGAACAAACAUAAACAGAGCCAGUGCAAACAGUACCCCAUACUUGAGGGACACCGUACAGGGGCUCGCCAAAUCUGGAAUCCAGGUAGCAUUGUCAUAAUAAUCGUCAUAGGACAAUGAUGAGUUUUCUAAGAAUGCCUGAAGAUCUUCCAGGUCCAGGUCCCGCAGGACAAGCAUCGUGGCUCCGGUGUGGGGACACUCACUCAGUCUGUCUUUCUUGCAGAGUCAGAAGUAGAGAAACAGGAAGAAGGUCCCCUUUAAGGAGAACUGUGACACACCUGCCUACAGAAUUUAAAGCAUAAACACUUGACCCACACCCUUCCUGUGCUAAAAGUUGUGACUGUGUACUUUAUCUCUUUCAGAUAAUGCCCACAUCCCCACCGACUACACGCAACACAACCUCAGGCAAAACCAGAUCAGGGUGCAAACGUAGGUGCUUCAACAAACCAGCAGCCAUGCCUCCUAAAAGACGCCGCGCUCCAAAAAGACCAGCCCCUCCUCCACCACCGGGAUGCCAAGGUGAUGAGGAGUCCAGCCAGGGAACUCAAACGCCAAACCCCCCAUCACCACCAGUGCCCCCUUCAUCACCAACACUUCCCUCAUCCCCCGUCCCUCCUUCAUCACCAGUACAUGAGCCACCAUCUCCUUCCCCCCCACCAGCCCCACCAUCACCAGAUGUUGAUGUUGAAGGUUUAGAUGUAGGAGAGACAGACGAUCCCGGUCCCCCUCCACCAAAAAGAUACUCCAGGUAUCAAAAACCGCAUAAUCCAUCUGAUCCAUUGCCUAAAAAAUAUCAGGGAAUGCGAAGACACCUGCAGGUGACAGCACCCAGGUUAUUUGAUCCCGAGGGUCACCCCCCAACACAUUUUAAGUCAGCUGUUAUGUUUAGUAGCACACAUCCCUACACUUUGAAUAAACUUCACAAGUGUAUCCAAAGCAAACAUGUACUCUCAACACCAGUUAGCUGUUUACCCUUGGUACCAGGCACAACACAACAGUGUGUAACAUACUAUUUACUUUCAUUUGUUGAAGACAAGAAACAGGCCAAAAAACUAAAAAGGGUUGUCUUGGCCUACUGUGAAAAAUACCACAGCAGCGUAGAAGGUACUAUAGUCAAGGCAAAGCCUUAUUUUCCCUUACCAGAGCCCCCUACAGAGCCCCCUACAGACCCCGAGCAGCCAUCCACAAGUACACAAGCUUCUGGCACACAACAUGGUCCCACAGCAUCUCUGGAUGCCGGUGCAGAGCAAGGUGCCACAGGAUCACCUGGAUCUAGUCCAGGACAACAGGGACAAGGGUCUCAGACAAAGGGUGGGCGCGCCGACCCAGCUUUCUUGUACAAAGUGGUUGAUGCUGUUAUGGACCCAGAAACGCUGGUGAAAGUAAAAGAUGCUGAAGAUCAGUUGGGUGCACGAGUGGGUUACAUCGAACUGGAUCUCAACAGCGGUAAGAUCCUUGAGAGUUUUCGCCCCGAAGAACGUUUUCCAAUGAUGAGCACUUUUAAAGUUCUGCUAUGUGGCGCGGUAUUAUCCCGUAUUGACGCCGGGCAAGAGCAACUCGGUCGCCGCAUACACUAUUCUCAGAAUGACUUGGUUGAGUACUCACCAGUCACAGAAAAGCAUCUUACGGAUGGCAUGACAGUAAGAGAAUUAUGCAGUGCUGCCAUAACCAUGAGUGAUAACACUGCGGCCAACUUACUUCUGACAACGAUCGGAGGACCGAAGGAGCUAACCGCUUUUUUGCACAACAUGGGGGAUCAUGUAACUCGCCUUGAUCGUUGGGAACCGGAGCUGAAUGAAGCCAUACCAAACGACGAGCGUGACACCACGAUGCCUGUAGCAAUGGCAACAACGUUGCGCAAACUAUUAACUGGCGAACUACUUACUCUAGCUUCCCGGCAACAAUUAAUAGACUGGAUGGAGGCGGAUAAAGUUGCAGGACCACUUCUGCGCUCGGCCCUUCCGGCUGGCUGGUUUAUUGCUGAUAAAUCUGGAGCCGGUGAGCGUGGGUCUCGCGGUAUCAUUGCAGCACUGGGGCCAGAUGGUAAGCCCUCCCGUAUCGUAGUUAUCUACACGACGGGGAGUCAGGCAACUAUGGAUGAACGAAAUAGACAGAUCGCUGAGAUAGGUGCCUCACUGAUUAAGCAUUGGUAACCGGUUAGUAAUGAGUUUAAACGGGGGAGGCUAACUGAAACACGGAAGGAGACAAUACCGGAAGGAACCCGCGCUAUGACGGCAAUAAAAAGACAGAAUAAAACGCACGGGUGUUGGGUCGUUUGUUCAUAAACGCGGGGUUCGGUCCCAGGGCUGGCACUCUGUCGAUACCCCACCGAGACCCCAUUGGGGCCAAUACGCCCGCGUUUCUUCCUUUUCCCCACCCCACCCCCCAAGUUCGGGUGAAGGCCCAGGGCUCGCAGCCAACGUCGGGGCGGCAGGCCCUGCCAUAGCAGAUCCACUAGUAACGGCCGCCAGUGUGCUGGAAUUCAGGGACAUAAAUCACAUUCCCAGAAUAUAUCCUGGGCAACACCUUCGCCAGGGCAUGCAACAAGAAUGUAAAGCCAGUGGUCUGGAAUUUUCUCUGUGCCAAAAAUAUGUCUUCUAAUGGAAAAUGGUUCAUUAAAUUGUUUUCAAUAAAAAAGUGUGUCAU
rnacentral:tmRNA from 1 species